GACGAACGCUGGCGGCGUGCCUAAUACAUGCAAGUCGAGCGAAUCAAUGGGAGCUUGCUCCCUGAGAUUAGCGGCGGACGGGUGAGUAACACGUGGGUAACCUGCCUGUAAGACUGGGAUAACUUCGGGAAACCGGAGCUAAUACCGGAUACUUUCUUUUCUCGCAUGAGGGAAGAUGGAAAGAUGGUUCUGCUAUCACUUACAGAUGGACCCGCGGCGCAUUAGCUAGUUGGUGAGGUAACGGCUCACCAAGGCAACGAUGCGUAGCCGACCUGGGAGGGUGAGCGGCGACACUGGGACUGAGACACGGCCCAGACUCCUACGGGAGGCAGCAGUAGGGAAUCUUCCGCAAUGGACGAAAGUCUGACGGAGCAACGCCGCGUGAGCGAAGAAGGCCUUCGGGUCGUAAAGCUCUGUUGUUAGGGAAGAACAAGUACGAGAGUAACUGCUCGUACCUUGACGGUACCUAACCAGAAAGCCACGGCUAACUACGUGCCAGCAGCCGCAGUAA
rnacentral:rRNA from 1 species